AGGGGAAUAAACACCUGCUAGAAACGGUCAUUAGGGGACCACUGAUAGAUACUUAAGGAUUGUGUCUCACACAGGAUCCCAGAGCUUCAACCCUGGGCUGAGUUGAAGCCCCAGGUGACCAUGUGACUGCACUGACCACGUGACUUUCAUAGACUGCUUCCUCCUUCCUGCCACAGCUCUCUCAACAGCAUUCCCAGCACCUUUUCCAUAAAGCACAGCCAAAUCCUUGUCUCAGCACCUGAGUUGCUAUAGGGUUUCGCUACAGAGUUCCAAACUCCACUUCACGCUACAGAUCAAGUGACUGGUGUUCUGCUUUAUGCACUGCACUUCACGAGUUUGGUUCACCAAGGUCCAUCCCUGAGGUUCCAAGGAGCGCUGCAAAGAUGGACACUGUGGACCCGUUGGAUUUGCAGCACCAACACAUUAGGCAGCUUUAUGCUGCUGUGACCAAAAUACCUGACAAAAGUAACUUAGGAGGAAAGAUUUAUUUUGGCUCAUGGCUUCAGAGGUUUUAAUCCAUAGACAGCCAACUCCAUUGCUCUGGGCCUGAGGACAGGCAGCGCAUGAUGGUGGAAGGGUGUGGUGGAGAAGCACUGCUCACUCGUGGCAGCCAGGAAGCACAGAUACAGAGAGAGACAGACAGGAAGUGGCCAGGGACCAGGGAACCUGCUUCCUCAGGCCAUACCCCAUCUGCCUAUGAGUCCAAUCAAAUUAUUAAUCCUUCAAAUCCACUGAGGAGGUUAAAGUCCUGAUAAUCCAAUCAAUUCAACUCUGAACAUCACGGAAUUGCCCAGCUCAUGGGAUUUGGGGGGAACAUUCCAGAUUCAAACCAUAACAGCAGAAAAUUGGUAAAACAGGAACACUUUGUGAGCUGCUGUCUCACCCAAUCAACAUCUGAACCUCCAGCACCACGGAUAUUUAAGAGGGCUUUUCCUUAUGUCCCAUCUCACAGGGAAAGAAAAGAAGAAAAUAUUUCCCAUCAAAUUGUCCAGUGUUUUACAGUUGGAAAGGAGAGAAGAGAGAAGUGACAGAGGUGUCAGAUGGACGAUAGAGACAGAUGAUCCCCCAGUCUUUCUUCUGAACACAGGAUAUACCUUUGGGGUUUUCCCAAUAAUAUACUGCCCAAUGUACUUAUAAUAAUAAUCUUGGAGAGAUGCAAUUACAUUUUUUUAUGUGGUUACACAUCCAGUUCAAUCGUACUGAAAAUCCCUGAGGAGAAAUAGCUUGCACCCAUCCGUCUCUACAAUAUGAAUCAUCUGAAGACUGAGAUACGAGACUGUGACUCCCAUUCCCUCCUGGAUGAGGCUCAGCACUUUAAAACAGGGGCAAGGAAGAUAGAAAGGCAGGGACAACAAGAGGCGUGCAGACAGCAAGAGGCUGCGGGGCCCAUCACCAACCUCCACAGACCACACCGUCCAGGUCCUCACAGCGGCGAUCGUCACACUCGCAGGUCUUGCCGUACACCCUGCGGUCUCCUGGCGGGUAGCACGUGCAUUUGCCACAUUCACAUUUGCCUGAAAAUUGUAAAGAAAGGGCACCCUGGUUAGGAGAAUCACGGAAUCAAAGGAUUCAUGAAAACAAGCACAAAUGCCCAGGAUGUGGGAAGUAGCUGUGACAAAGGCCAGCUCAGAAGUCCUUCACAACGUCGACCCUACUUUUGUUGAACACAUCUUUGAAGAAUAAUCCCAUCAUCAAACUUUCUGGCUACUUCAUAUUAAAUUCAGUUUAAUGGUACCGUUUAAAAUAAUUGAAGCAAUUCAUAUACUUGGGCAUAAUUUAAUAUAAUGUACUCUUUUUAAAUAUCUUUUUAAUGGGGGUAAAAAAAAUGGUCACUGUUACCUUUCAAUGUGGUAUUUGAGUGAUCUGUGCAAAUGGUUGAUUCCAUAGUUCAUGGAAUUACUUCAAUGUGGAAUAUUCCCAAAGAUCUUUAUUAUGUUAAACUUAAGAUUUAAAAGUACAAACAUUUUUUUUUUUUUUUGGAAUGAGUUGGGCUCAUAGCUAGACCAUCCCUUAACUAGUAAUAUGAUGAUUUUCAUCAUUAUUUCUUGAGCUGUCACUGCAUAUCGCUAUAACUCCUCGCACUAUGUCAUUUUGUUUUUAUGAUACCACGCACCAACUACCAUUUUACUAAACAGGAAAUUGAGACAUCCUGAGGCACAGCCACUGUUCCUGGAGAACCAGAAAAUAAGGGACAGGAUCAAAACUCACAUCCGUUCUCAUUAACCUUCAGGAUUAUGCACCUAGCUUAUUAAGCCAUAUUGCAUCUGAAUAUACUCUCAGCACAGCAUCAGAGGCUACAUGAGAAAGAAAAUUUCUUCUGGGGAAUCUUCUUGGUUUGCCAGAAAUUCAGUUGGGUGACAGUGCUCCGAGACAUCUGUUACUCUCUGUCAUUAGCCCAACCAUCAUAAUUACACACCCACUGAAAUGAGCCAAAGAUGUUCAGGGCUGACCCUGCAAAGCUCUUAGUCAUUCUAUUGCUGCAUUUGUAUCUUGUUCAGGAAAUUCAGAGUUGGAAGAUGAUGGAGGAAAUAAAAAUUGGUAUUUAGAAUCGCAUAAUUUCAUAGCUGUAAUUACAGAUAAUCUAAUGCAGCGAUUCAGACUCUUCCCUGACAGAAGUCGGGGGUUGGCGUCCCUGGGAGAAUCUGAAGAAGGAGAAGGCAAGGGAGAAGGGUGUUCUGGUGGCCCCAGCUCAUCUCCUCCUGGGAGAAGGUGGUGACCUCUUCAGCAAGAGGCAGGGUCCCCUCCCCCAUGAUAUUCUCUAUCCCUUGGUGGCCAGAAUGGGGACACACUGGACAGGCACUUUUGGUCAAGGAUCACGGGCUCCUAAUCUUGAAGGCAGAAGGAAAGGCUCAGCUCUGAUGUGGAGCAGCAAGCACCACAGCACAGCUGUAAGCAGGCAGAGUGGAGGAGCUCAGUACUCAGUGACAGCAUUUAGAAGGGACAGCUAUGGGACUGGCGCUCAGCAGUGCCCUUGCUUCCAUGGGUUUCCUCAGUGGCGGAUUGUGCAAGCUUGCACUCUUGAGCCUGAAGAAAAUCCUUUUUAUUUUAAAUUCUAGUUAUUGAAGUUGGUUUCUGUAGUUUGCAAUCAAGACCCUUAACUAGGGGGGAUGUAGGGUUCAGGUUUCAGAGACAUUUGCCACAAGCUACAUAAUGUCAGUUAUCCAGGAGUUCAAGAGACCUACCGCAACACCACGGUGACUUAGGCUAGAACAAUCUAUUGUAUUUUGAAAUAUAAUACCACACACUGACUACCAUUUUACUAAAGAGAGUAGAUUUUAAGCAGUCUCACCCCAAAACAUGUUUCUAAGACAGAAUAUUAACACUUUAAUGCCCAAUUUUGUACAAGAAAUAUAAAAGACAGAAACCUUUGUCUUUUAUCAUGAACAGAGUAGAUUUUAAGUGGUCUUACCCCAAAACAUUGUUGAUAAGCAUGUGAAGAAAUGUGUAUGUUAAGUUAGCCAUUCCAUAACUUGUACCUACUUUGGAACACAUUGUACACAAUAAAUAUAUAUUUUGUCAAUUAAAAAAUCAAAUUGCAUUUAAAAAGAAUGCUAGCAGGCAAAACCCAGGAUUCUCUCUGGAAAAAUCCACUGGUACAUUUAAUUUAAUUUUUUCAGAUGUUGGGUGGCUCCAUGACGUCCCUCCUAUUUAUAUAAUAGAUGAGAUGAAGAAACUGGGGCGGAAUGACUUGCCUGAGGCCAGCUGACUGGACCCCAGUUAGUGGGAGGGUUGGGAUAGAUUUUCUCAGUGAGUAAGCAUCUGGCCACCGUCAGGGUGGAAGUGUGAACAAAGCCAGUAAUGCUGACUGCAGAGGGAAAGAGCUAAACUCAGGGCCACCAGCCAUGCAACUUGUUGGCUCACUGUUUCCCCAUAGACAGAGGUGGGAACCACCACUAUCAGUCCCCAGAGGGAACACAUUCCCAGUUACAGGCAGAUCCAUUUUUACAUUUCAGGUCAAAUGCAUUUAUGGUGAAAAUUUAUUCGUAUUUUAAGGUGUAUGGCAAUUUUUCUGAAUACGCAUCAUUGGCUUCUGUGCUUCUUUGGAAAGGAUGAACUAAAUAUUGACAUCUGUGUUGAGAUACAGCCAUUUCAUUGGUUUUACCAUAGAUGGUUUCUGUCUUUCACAUUUCUUGUAUAAAGUUGGGCAUUAAAGUGUUAAUAUUCUGUCCAAGGAACAUUUUCUUUUCCUGUGGACUGUAUUUCACAUCUUUUCCAAGUGUCAGAAAAUAAUUAACCAUUUGCAAUUCCUCUUUGAUAUGUAUCGACUGGAGUCUCAUUUUCUUUUUCUUUUUUAAAGACAUCUUAUAGCAAGUAUUAGCUGAAUCAACUUUAUGCAUGUGACUGUAGUACAUUUGAAAGGAUAUAAUCGCCUCUAAUGGAAAGGCAAAAAAAAAAUCAGAAAAAGCUAAUUUACUGUAAAUAAAGAGUGAAAAAGAGUACAUUCCUCAUGCA